AGAACGAACGCUGGCGGCAGGCCUAACACAUGCAAGUCGAGCGCCCGUAGCAAUACGGGAGCGGCAGACGGGAUAGUAACACGUGGGAACGCGCCCUUCGGUUCGGAAUAACUCAGGGAAACUUGAGCUAAUACCGAAUACGCCCUUACGGGGAAAGAUUUAUUGCCGAAGGAACGGCCCGCGUCCGAUUAGCUAGUUGGUGAGGUAAUGGCUCACCAAGGCUACGAUCGGUAGCUGGUCUGAGAGGAUGACCAGCAUCACUGGGACUGAGACACGGCCCAGACUCCUACGGGAGGCAGCAGUGGGGAAUAUUGGACAAUGGGCGCAAGCCUGAUCCAGCCAUGCCGCGUGGAUGAUGAAGGCCUUAGGGUUGUAAAGUCCUUUUAACGGGGAGAUAAUGACGGUACCGUAGAAUAAGCCCGGCUAACUUCGUGCAGCAGCCGC
rnacentral:rRNA from 1 species